rnacentral:rRNA from 1 species
UACGAAGGGGGCUAGCGUUGCUCGGAAUCACUGGGCGUAAAGCGCACGUAGGCGGAUUGCUAAGUCAGGGGUGAAAUCCUGGAGCUCAACUCCAGAACUGCCUUUGAUACUGGCAAUCUCGAGUCCGGGAGAGGUGAGUGGAACUGCGAGUGUAGAGGUGAAAUUCGUAGAUAUUCGCAAGAACACCAGUGGCGAAGGCGGCCCACUGGAUCGGUACUGACGCUGAGGUGCGAAAGCGUGGGGAGCAAACAGG